rnacentral:rRNA from 1 species
GACGAACGCUGGCGGCGUGCUUAACACAUGCAAGUCGAACGGAAAGGUCCUGCUUGCAGGGUCCUCGAGUGGCGAACGGGUGAGUAACACGUGGGUGAUCUGCCCUGCACUUCGGGAUAAGCCCGGGAAACUGGGUCUAAUACCGGAUAGGAGCCAUUUUUAGUGUGAUGGUUGGAAAGUUUUUUCGGUGUAGGAUGAGGUCGCGGCCUAUCAGAUUGUUGGUGGGGUAAUGGCCUACCAAGGCGGCGACGGGUAGCCGGCCUGGGAGGGUGGACGGCCACAGUGGGACUGGGAUACGGCCCAGACUCCGACGGAAGGGAGAAGUGGGGAAGAUUGAACAAUGGGAGCAAGCCUGAUGCAGCGACGCCGCGUGGGGGAUGACGGCCUUCGGGUUGUAAACUCCUUUCGCUAGGGACGAAGCUUUUUGUGACGGUACCUAGAGAAGAAGCACCGGCUAACUACGUG